GAAUGAUGAAUCUGGAGCCCACUGAUUUAAUGAUGACCUGUUCGCGGGGCUGAUG
rnacentral:ncRNA from 16 species